ACGAACGCUGGCGGCGUGCCUAAUACAUGCAAGUCGAGCGGAAUGAUGAAGAAGCUUGCUUCUUCUGAUUUUAGCGGCAAACAAGUGAGUAACACGUGGGCAACCUACCUUGUAGAUUGGGAUAACUCCGGGAAACCGGGGCUAAUACCGAAUAAUCCAUUUUGCUUCAUGGCGAGAUGUUGAAAGACGGUUUCGGCUGUCACUACAAGAUGGGCCCGCGGCGCAUUAGCUAGUUGGUAGGGUAAUGGCCUACCAAGGCGACGAUGCGUAGCCGACCUGAGAGGGUGAUCGGCCACACUCGGGACUGAGACACGGCCCAGACUCCUACGGGAGGCAGCAGUAGGGAAUCUUCCACAAUGGACGAAAGUCUGAUGGAGCAACGCCGCGUGAGUGAAGAAGGUUUUCGGAUCGUAAAACUCUGUUGUAAGGGAAGAACACGUACGAGAGUAACUGCUCGUACCUUGACGGUACCUUAUUAGAAAGCCACGGCUAACUACGUG
rnacentral:rRNA from 1 species